ACAGAGAGGAGCAAAACUUAUCUGACCUACUUUCCCCGACCUGUGAAGUAGCUAAUAGUACAGAACAGAACACUCAGGAGAAUGAAAGUCAAGUUUCCACAGACGACAGUGAACACUCCUCCAGAUCGCUCAGAAGUAAAGCACACAGCAAGUCCAAAGCUGCUCCGUGGACCUCAUUUCUUCCUCCACCACCCCCAAUGCCAGGGUCAGGAUUAGGACCAGGAAAGAGUGAUGAUUCUGACAUUUGGGAUGAUACAGCAUUGAUAAAAGCUUAUGAUAAAGCUGUGGCUUCCUUUAAGCAUGCUCUAAAGAACGGUGACAUUUGUGAAACUCCAGAUAAGCCAAAAGGCACAGCCAGAAGAAAACCUGCCAAGAAGAAUAAAAGCCAAAAGAAGAAUGCCACAACUCCCUUGAAACAGUGGAAAGUUGGUGACAAGUGUUCUGCUGUUUGGUCAGAAGACGGCUGCAUUUACCCAGCUACUAUUACGUCCAUUGACUUUAAGAGAGA
rnacentral:sRNA from 1 species